AUUGAACGCUGGCGGCAUGCCUUACACAUGCAAGUCGAACGGUAACAGGUCUUCGGAUGCUGACGAGUGGCGAACGGGUGAGUAAUACAUCGGAACGUGCCCGAUCGUGGGGGAUAACGCAGCGAAAGCUGUGCUAAUACCGCAUACGAUCUACGGAUGAAAGCGGGGGAUCGCAAGACCUCGCGCGGACGGAGCGGCCGAUGGCAGAUUAGGUAGUUGGUGGGAUAAAAGCUUACCAAGCCGACGAUCUGUAGCUGGUCUGAGAGGACGACCAGCCACACUGGGACUGAGACACGGCCCAGACUCCUACGGGAGGCAGCAGUGGGGAAUUUUGGACAAUGGGCGCAAGCCUGAUCCAGCCAUGCCGCGUGCAGGAUGAAGGCCUUCGGGUUGUAAACUGCUUUUGUACGGAACGAAAAGACUCUCUCUAAUACAGGGGUGAAUGACGGUACCGUAAGAAUAAGCACCGGCUAACUACGUGCCAGC
rnacentral:rRNA from 1 species